ensembl:lncRNA
AUAUUGGCUUUUAAGUGGCAAACACCUGAACCCACUUUAGGUAAGUUUUUGGUGCCAGUGUGAGGCUGUGCUCUCGCGAUACCUGGCUCCUGGGGUUUUCCCCAAAGCAGAGCCGCCACCGUGAUGACUUGCCGGGAAGCCUUCAAGGAGUCACUACUCCCAGACAGGUGGUUUGGGACAAUGUUCCCAGCAGCUGCUGAGACCACUUUUGGGGGGAGAGUCUCCCUGUCUCUCCCCUGCGCAGCACUGGCGGCAGUGUAUGCUUCUCCUUGGUGGAAUGGAAUCAUGCCUCUGGACAAGCUGACAAGCCCCGUGACCCAAGUGGGAUGCAGAAGUGACUCGAGGUCAGGAGCUUGUUCUCCUGUCUCCACAAUGGCUCCCUGUUGAGAAAAUACUCGGUGUCCCAGAGGCAGAGUGGAGAGAGGAACAGGUGUGCUGGCAAGGACAGAAUGCCACGCAGGAUCCAUGGGGAGACUUUCUGCAGGCCAGCUUCCAGUCUGUUCCCGGUGUCGUUCGUCUUCGAACAAGCUCACGCUCUAUUUGUGGCAGGUGGCAGAAGCACAAGAAGCCCAGCUACAGGGAAGCACGGUUAAAGCCUCUGCUCACGUCAUCUUUGCUCACAUCCUAUUGGCCAGAGCAAGUCACAUGGCCAACAUCAACUGGACCAGGAUGUAAAUUUCUCCCACGGAAGUUGAGAGAAGCCAGGACAAGGGCCAGGAAGGAAGGACUUGACCUCACAAGACCCCAGAAUGGUGGUCCAGUGUGGAGGAUGUCUGAGAUCACUGCCCACCAGCCAGCAGAGUGGAGCAUGCAGGAUCUUUUAGCUGUGGCUUGCGAACUCAGUUGCAGCAUGUGGGAUCUAGUUCCCAGACCAUGGACCAAAGCCCAGCCCCUGCAUUGGGAGCACAGAGUCUUAGCAACUGACCACCGAGGAAUUCCCCAUUGCCGAGUCUGAACCCUUCUCAACCCUCACCUAAACAUCUUUCAUCUGUCCUGCUGUUUCUCCCUCCCC